rnacentral:lncRNA from 1 species
AACUUUUCGACUCUAUAUAAUACCACAAUAUUGCAGUGGUUGUGUCCAGUUAUAUCGUGAACUGUUAUUGCGAUUAAACGUUUUUCCGAAUGCUUUUAAAUUGAGGAUGAAACAUUCUUAUUAUAAAUACUUGAUGCUGAUUUGAAACAGACAGUGCUAGUUUUUACACAUCUUAUAAAAUGCUGAUAUCUUGAUGGUGGACGUUUACUAACUAAG